CCAAACAGCGCUAAGGCAUCUACAGCAAAGCUCGAUUUCUGGUUUUGCUGAGGCUCAUGCUCACAGAUCAUGAAGACAGCCAGGCGGUGGAGGAAAUGAAGAGGCUUUCGAGGGAGGGGUGAGGGGGACACGGGCAGGUGCUGCUGGCAGUGAGUGGCUGCCUCUGCAGCUCGGAUGGCUUCUCCUGCUGCCUGCCGCCACUGCUGACCCUCGCCCAGGAGGCAGGUUGCCCAGAGGAACAAGACUUGGUGGAGGAGAAGAGGCAUCAGCUUCCCGUGGCCCCGUGUCUGCCUCUGGUAAACACCUCUGAGAAAAACUGCUUUGAGCUAACGGGCACCACUUGUCCCAAGAAUCCCCUGAAGGUCCUUGGGUGGGAUGAACUGGACCACUCACAGCAUUUGGGCCCUCAGAGCCAGCAAUGCCUCCCUGGAGAAUCUUGCCCGGUCGCUUUCACCAGGCAACAACAUCACCAUGAAGCCAGAGACCAGGUCUGUAGGACCCAGAGGGGAGGACUGGGCCCAGAAAAGGGGUCUGCAGGUGUAGGUGGGAUUGUGGCUGUGGAGAGAAACCAGAAGAUGCUCAGCUAUGGGGAGGGAGAAGCCCUGAGCUGGGCGAGCAGGCGCGGGGCAGGGAGCCCAGGGUACCUCAGUGGUGGUCACCAGGCAGCUGCAGCAGCUGGACUGACCUCGUCUCCCUCGGGUGCUCUCCCCAGCAUGAACACGGCAGCCACUGCCCUCUCAGGAUCCCUUGGUGUUGUGGGCCUCCUCUUGCUCCUGGUGGGUCUCUUGGUCAUGGUCUUGAAGAAAUGGAGGCACGAGAGUGAGUUGAGCAGCUGGCCCUGGACAUGGGAAUGCAGAAAGUGGGGAGCUGGGGGAGACGUGGGGUGUCUUUCCUGUGGGGCAGCCUUGACAGGGGAGGGGCACAGGGCAGGCUAUAGAGUCUUUCUCUAGAGUCACCAGGGACUCCUUACAUAGCAGCAGGAGUUUUUCAUCAUACAAAUUCUUCAUGCUGAAAGCCACAUAGAAGCCAUUUGCAUAUAGAUGCAUCAACUAAAAGAAAUACUGAUAGCAAGUGCUGUUAUCUACAUAACAGCAAAAUUACAAAAUGUACUCAUUCCCCUGUCUUCCUGGGAAAUUUACUUAGCCUCAGAGGCCCAUUGAGAAAGGGUUUUGCAUUUCACAGUUGAGCCUUAAACUCAGCAAUUUGACCUUGAGUUUAUUCAUUUUUCUAGGACUAUUUAAGAAUCAACUGAGACGUCAGACCAAUUUUCUCCACAAACCUUUGGUAAGGCAGUAAGUGAAGCCACAUACAGAGAGGGCCCUGGCCAUCUCUGCAUGUGGUUUCUUGGUGUUUCCUAGAUGGAACUGAAGUGGGUGACUGGUCAGGAAGCAAUGUGCUUGAAAACCCAGGGCUCUGCUCACCAGCCUAUAGGGAGAGCCAGGCACCUGGCUUUGUUUUUAGAAGUCCCCACUGCUUGACUAUCUAUUACUGUACUGUUUCUAAAGGAUUCUUCCUGCCAAGCUGAGGCUGUGUAUUGCAACGUGGCCCCCUGGAAAGAGGAAGACUUCACCAUCUAUGCCAAUAUGCCCCAAUUCGAUUGCCCCAGGAGGACAAGGAAGACACCAGACCAAGUGGAAUAUGCCUCUAUUGUAUUCCGCUGAUGGGACCUGGGGCACUGCGAGUGGCGGGGAAAGGACUCUGGAUCCAAACACCACUCCCGUUUUUGAUGUGUGAAUAUAUGUGUGUUUCUAAAAAAUGCACAAAACACUUGUGGGUGGAGGUUGAUGGCUAGGUAUUGCUUCUAACUUACUGGAGUCAAAGUUUGGUCCCAGUGGGAAGGAGUGACAUAGGAGACACAAAGACAUGCUUGUUCAUUGUUGUUGCCAGCUCUCCCCAAGUCCAGAGACAGGUUGUGAGAUGAAGGGGCCAGCAGCGUGCUCUCCCAAGGCAAAGGAGGUUGGGGUGAGGUGGUAGAUGCUUCCCAUCCAGGAUGUGGCUAUUCUGCCAUGCCUGGAAGUGACACCCUGUAGGACAGCAGACACACACUUGCGUAGGUGACACACGAUUGACUCUCUGCUGGACGGGAUGCCCCCAGUGGGGAGCAGGAGGGCUGCGGGUGCGUGGGAAGAGCUUCUUACUGGAGGACUUGGUGCCAUCUGGGAAAGAACUGGGGAAAGAACAAGAGGUAAGAAGUGGGCAGCACUCACUGCUAGCCUCGGGAUUUGGGGCGAUGCCUGGAACUUUGUAAUUGAUUUGCUCCUUUGUCCCCCCCAAAACAAAUCUGUGUUUAGCACUUCUGUGCUUAAGGUCCUGGAACUAUAACAAGGAACCCUACAGACAAAACAUUAUCAUCAUAGAGCGUACCAUCUAGAAUGAACAAAUGUACAAGCAAAUACCCAGCAUGUCAGGCGUUGUUAUGUCCUAUGGAGAAAAUAAAGCAGGUCAUUGGGUGGGAAGUGCUGGGUGGGAGCAGGUUUUGUACUGGACGGU
rnacentral:lncRNA from 1 species